rnacentral:rRNA from 1 species
GGAAUUUUCCGCAAUGGGCGAAAGCCUGACGGAGCAACGCCGCGUGAGGGAUGAAGGCCUCUGGGCUGUAAACCUCUUUUAUCAAGGAAGAAGAUCUGACGGUACUUGAUGAAUAAGCCACGGCUAAUUCCGUGCCAGCAGCCGCGGUAAUACGGGAGUGGCAAGCGUUAUCCGGAAUUAUUGGGCGUAAAGCGUCCGCAGGCGGUCUGUCAAGUCUGCUGUUAAAGCGUGGAGCUUAACUCCAUUUCGGCAGUGGAAACUGACAGACUAGAGUGUGGUAGGGGCAGAGGGAAUUCCCGGUGUAGCGGUGAAAUGCGUAGAUAUCGGGAAGAACACCAGUGGCGAAGGCGCUCUGCUGGGCCAUAACUGACGCUCAUGGACGAAAGCGAGGGGAGCGAAAGGGAUUAGAUACCCCAGUAGUC